rnacentral:rRNA from 1 species
AUUAUUUAAUAAAUAAUAAGACAAUAAAAUUCGAGAGGUUACUCAAAAGCUAAGUAAUCAAAAAAAUAAAAAGGAAAUGCCCAAUUCAUAGAACUUUAAUGUAAAUUUAUUUAUAUUAUGGUUAAUUUGAAUUGAUAACCAACCUCGUUUUUAUUUUUAAAUAACCGUACCCUAAACCGACACAGGUGGAUAGGUCGAAUAGACUAAGGUGUAUGAGAUAAUUAUGUUGAAGGAACUCGGCAAAAUGACUCUGUAACUUCGGGAGAAAGAGUACCUACUUAUAUAUAUAAUAUAGAAG